rnacentral:rRNA from 1 species
UGAAUGACUCCUGGCAAUGGAUAUCUUGGCUCUUAUGUCGACGAAUAACGUAGAGAAAUGCGAAACUUGGUGUGAAUUGCACGAGGUCAUUAGGUCGAGUGCACGUCUGUUUGGGCGUCAUGU